GAGCUGGAAGAAGGAGCAGGUUCUCAGUGGAAGUCCUCCCUCAGAUGCUAAGUUGGAUAUCCAUAUCAGGUGCUUCUACAAAAAAGCUGACCACCCUCCAUCCAGAAAUUAUUGAAUUCUUGGUGA